rnacentral:rRNA from 1 species
UGGGCAACCUGCCCCUAGCUCUGGGAUAACUCCGGGAAACCGGGCUAAUACCGGAUACGACCUCGGGUGGCAUCACCUGAGGUGGAAAGUUUUUCGGCUAGGGAUGGGCCCGCGGCCUAUCAGCUUGUUGGUGAGGUAACGGCCCACCAAGGCGACGACGGGUAGCCGGCCUGAGAGGGCGACCGGCCACACUGGGACUGAGACACGGUCCAGACUCCUACGGGAGGUA